rnacentral:lncRNA from 1 species
AUGUAUUUAGGAUGGGUCAAAUGCAGAGGACAAAUUUUGUUUUGCGUAUGUAAAAUGAUGAAAAUGCUGUAUAUACAAUUUAUAACAAGCAAAAUACCAUCUGUAUCAGUGGACCUGUUUAGUUGGCUGUGUAUUUGUGAGCUGCUGCGAGUGUUCGACAGCCAGUGUGAGUGUGUGUGGAGACACAGUAUCCUUUAGCAGUGUGUGUGUGUGUGUGUGUGUGUGUGUGUGUGUGUGUGUGUGUGGCUUACAAGAUGUGCACGUGAAGACAAAGGCAGUACUGUAGCUGUGGAUACACUUGUAUACUGUAUCAUCGUGUGUGUGUCCUCACUGCUGUGGGGACUUAUAAUGUAAAUAAACCCCGAAAUUCAGCUAAAUAUUCAACCACUAGAGGCUAACUCUCCGGUGUCUGUGGGGAAGUGUCAGGGUAGGCUACGUAGCAGGCUGCAGUCUGCAGAGUGGGGUGAGGUUUUAGCAACGGAUGUAUUAAGAAGAACUUAAUACAAUUCCCCAAAUUACCCAGAUUUUCUGCAUAAUCUUCCCAUAGAACAAGCACACUAGAGACUUCCGCCAGCUGAGUCGCUAAGGUCUGGUUUAGCCCUCCGCUAACUUUAAUGGAGAUAAAAUAUUUAAUUGUGCCUCUCUUUUAAACUUUUCAAAUGUUAUCAGACUGAAUGGAUCAGAUUCAGAUAUAAUGAGACAUUUUGCGGGGGUGUUGAUGCGUGUUGAUAGUUUCGGGGUUUAGUCACUCUUUUAAAAGUGUGUGUUUGUUCUUCUAUCUUUGUGAGGACAAAUGAAAGAUUUACAUCUUGGCAGUGAGGACCUUUUUGGAAAGUGGGGACAUAUUUGUAAAAAUACAAAAAUGUUUGACAAGUGAGGAUUUUUUUAAAAGUAAACUUGUAAACUUUUUAGGUGUUAGGUUAGAAAAUAUAUUGUGUCAAUAAUGGACCUCACAAGUAUAGAAGUAGCAUCUGUGUGUGUGUGUGUGUGUGUGUGUGUGUGUGUGUGUGUGUGUGUGUGUAUCUUUCUGUCAGUCCAUCAGUUUACCUCAGACAGACAGGAGGACGACUGAAGAGCUGCGUUCAAUAACAAGAAAAUCCAUGUUUGAAAAAGAAAUAACAUAAAACAAGACUGGUGUUUUGCUGUGGUGACGAUUUUCAGCUUCAACCCCUGAAGAA